AACGAACGCUGGCGGCAGGCCUAACACAUGCAAGUCGAACGCCCUAGGCAAUAGGGAGUGGCAGACGGGUGAGUAACACGUGGGAACGUGCCUUUCGGUUCGGAAUAACCAGGGAAACUUGGACUAAUCCGGAUACGUGCGAGAGCAGGAAAGAUUUAUCGCCGAAAGAUCGGGCCCGCGUCCCGAUUAGUUAGUUGGUGAGGUAAUGGUUCACCAAGGCGACGAUCGGUAGCUGGUCUGAGAGGAUGAUCAGCCACGCUGGGACUGAGACACGGCCCA
rnacentral:rRNA from 1 species